CAAUAGCGUAUAUUAAAGCUGUUGCGGUUAAAAAGCUCGUAGUUGGAUUUCUGUCAAGGACAACUGGUCCGCCCUCCGGGUGAGCACAUAGUUUGGUCUUGACAUCUUGCUGGAAGCUGUUGCUGCACUUGGCUGUGUGGCGCAGUGUUCAGCACUUUCACUUUGAGGAAAUUGGAGUGUUUCAAGCAGGCACAUGCCUUUGGACACAGUAGCAUGGAAUAAUUAGAUUGGGCUUUUGCUCCAAUUUGUCGGUUUCUGGAGCUGAGGUGAGUAUUAAUGGGGAUUGUUGGGGGCAUCCGAAUUUAGCCGUCAGAGGGGAAAUUCUUGGAUCUGCUAAAGACGGACAACUGCGAAAGCGUUUGCCCAGGAUGUUUUCAUUGA
rnacentral:rRNA from 1 species